UUUGUGUGGUGUAAGGAUUGGAGUGUGCAUAUGUGAUUUGCAUCUUAUACUGCAAGGGUAGGGUAGGGUAGGGUAGGGUAGGGUGGGUAGCUGUAUGUGCAGUGCAGUGCAGGAGUAGAAGGUUAAGCUGUAAAUUAUGACAUGAAAUUAUUAUAUCCCUGUGCAUUAAACUU